rnacentral:RNase_P_RNA from 1 species
GGGGUAGGACGGGAUGGUCGCGGACCGGCUUUCGGGCUGGUUCGAGGAAAGUCCGAGCUCCAACGGGUAGACUGCCAGGUAACGCCUGGGCGCCGAAAGGCGACGGACAGGGCCACAGAAAACACACCGCCUCCGGCGCAAGUCGGCGGUAAGGGUGAAAAGGUGGGGUAAGAGCCCACCGCGCCGCCGGUAACGGUGGUGGCACGGCAACCCCCAGUCGGAGCAAGGCCAAAUAAGCGGCGAGGUGCGGCCCGCACCGACCCCUCCUUCGGGAGUGAGCCGCGGGUAGGCUGCUCGAGGCGACUGGCGACAGUCGUCCCAGAGAGAUGACCAUCCGGACCGUUUCGGCGGUCCGAACAGAACUCGGCUUACGGUCCCACCCACCCC